UACGGGGGGAGCAAGCGUUGUUCGGAUUUACUGGGCGUAAAGGGCGCGUAGGCGGUCAGCACAAGUCAGUUGUGAAAUCUCCGGGCUUAACUCGGAAAGGUCAACUGAUACUGUGCGACUAGAGUGCGGAAGGGGCAACUGGAAUUCUCGGUGUAGCGGUGAAAUGCGUAGAUCUCGAGAGGAACACCAGUGGCGAAGGCGGGUCUCUGGACAACACCUGACGCUGAGGCACGAAAGCCAGGGGAGCAAACGGG
rnacentral:rRNA from 1 species